GUGCUCAUUUUGGCAGCACAGGUACUGAAACGGGAAUGAUGCAGAGAAGAUUGGCAUGGCCCCUGUGCAAGGAUGACAUGCAAAUUCUGGAACCCUUCCAUAUUUUU
rnacentral:snRNA from 1 species